UUUAGUUGUUUCCCUAUCAGUCCUCGGGAAAUUGCUGUGGCAUCUUCAUGCUGAUGUAUGCUCUCUGCAUCUGCACCUCGUCUCCGCUGACAUUCACAGAGGGGGAAAUGCCAGCAAUUCGACUGUGGUGGUGCAUUCAGCUGAUGGAGAGAUUCUGCACAGAAGGGUAUGGUUGGUACUAAAGACAAACUAGCCCUACUGGCAUCAUAGUCACAGUUCCAAGUGAACGUUGCUUACUGUAGUCAUCUAUAUAUAUAACCCUGUGACUGGACGGUCUGAACAGAGCGGUAGUAUACAAGUAGAGUGCAUUCACAAUGAUAUUACUUUUUAAAGGCAUGGACAUAGAUUUGCCUUCUGGACAGAAGAAGCAUCCCUUCUCCUCCAGGGAACUCUCCAGCCUAUGUUCAGGGUUCCGAAGGCAACCUCUUCCAAGCCUUUGCCAAGUCCAAUGGAACAGGUGGAAGAGGACAACAAUGAGGUAACCAUUUGUAGAAAUGUAACCACACAAUGUUGAUGGUGGGACUAUUUAUCGCUA